rnacentral:lncRNA from 1 species
GGGCGGGAAAGGACGGACGGGUUAAGUAGCCAAUCACCAAUUGCGCUCCAGCCAGAGGGGCGAUGUUCUUGGGGAGCCUGGGGAUCUGGAAGAAGUUCAGUGUGAGGACGAGUGUUAGGAAAUAAGGCUGAAGACAGAGGCAACCCUGGAGGAUCUUCUAACCCAUGUCAAGCAGUUGAGAAUUUAUGGAGUGAAAUAGCAAGCCAUUGAAGAGUUUCAAGGUGCUCCCAAUGCAAUCACAAAGAUCUUUAAAAGUGGAAGAAGGUGGGAGAGGUCAGAGUGAUACGAAGAGAACUCAGUCUACCACUGCUGGCUUUGAAGAUGGAAGAAUGGGGCUAUGAGCCCUGGAUUGCGGGCAGCCUGCAGAAGCUGGGGCAGAGAUUCCACACAGGCACCUCUAGAAAAUAAUGCAGCCAGCCAAUCCUUAGACUUUAUCCCAGUGAGAGUCAAGUUGGACUUCUGACCUACAAAAGAGAAACAGCUUUUCCUGCUUUGGCAUCAAAACCAUAUCAACAAAAGCCCAAACCAGAACACACAGCUCAGUGGAAGAUGGAUACGCCCAUGUUUUCAAGCCCUUUGACACAGCCGACAAAGAUCCUGACAGAUAAAUUGGUGUGGGCCUGUCUUUCUGGGACCUUCUUGCCUGAAAUUAUUUCAAGACCAGUUUUCUCAGCCAUAGAGUAUGUGCAGCAGAGGUCUGUAUCUUCUGCAGGUUGAUGUGCUCCUGUGCAACUGGAUGGGUCCCAGUUCAUGGCCCCAGGGCCAACACAGACUAUUAAUGUUUCAAUGAAUUACCUAAGGAGCACCAUGAAAAAAACACACCAUGGUACUGGCAAUUGUUUGAAGAAGGUCCUAAAUAUGCCUGGGUUUGGGAGUCUCGGCUUCUACUGGGAAUGAUACAAGAGGUCAAGGCUACUUGUAAUGAAUAAAUCCUGUUCUCUG